rnacentral:miRNA from 1 species
UACCGAGGAUUGUUUGUUCACU